GAUGAACGCUGGCGGCGUGCCUAAUACAUGCAAGUCGAGCGAACGGACGAGAAGCUUGCUUCUCUGAUGUUAGCGGCGGACGGGUGAGUAGCACGUGGAUAACCUACCUAUAAGACUGGGAUAACUUCGGGAAACCGGAGCUAAUACCGGAUGAUAUUUUGAACCGCAUGGUUCAAAAGUGAAAGACGGUCUUGCUGUCACUUAUAGAUGGAUCCGCGCUGCAUUAGCUAGUUGGUAAGGUAACGGCUUACCAAGGCAACGAUGCAUAGCCGACCUGAGAGGGUGAUCGACCACACUGGAACUGAGACACGGUCCAGACUCCUACGGGAGGCAGCAGUAGGGAAUCUUCCGCAAUGGGCGAAAGCCUGACGGAGCAACGCCGCGUGAGUGAUGAAGGUCUUCGGAUCGUAAAACUCUGUUAUUAGGGAAGAACAUAUGUGUAAGUAACUGUGCACAUCUUGACGGUACCUAAUCAGAAAGCCACGGCUAACUACGUG
rnacentral:rRNA from 1 species